GCUCCGCUGGUGUAGCCGGGCCAAUCAUUCGGGCCUCUCGAGCCCGAGACCGGGUUUCAAAUCCCCGGCGGAGCA
rnacentral:tRNA from 1 species